UACGUAGGGACCAAGCGUUGUUCGGAUUUACUGGGCGUAAAGGGCGCGUAGGCGGCGUGGUAAGUCACUUGUGAAAUCUCUGAGCUUAACUCAGAACGGCCAAGUGAUACUGCUGUGCUAGAGUGCGGAAGGGGCUACUGGAAUUCUCGGUGUAGCGGUGAAAUGCGUAGAUAUCGAGAGGAACACCUGCGGCGAAGGCGGGUAGCUGGGCCGACACUGACGCUGGAUGCGCGAAAGCGUGGGGAGCAAACAGG
rnacentral:rRNA from 1 species